rnacentral:rRNA from 1 species
GUGCCAGCCGCCGCGGUAAUACGGAAGGGGCAAGCGUUGUUCGGAAUCAUUGGGCGUAAAGGGCGCGUAGGCGGUCUUGUGUGUCUGCUGUGAAAGCAUGCGGCUCAACCGUAUAGGGUCGGUAGAAACUGCAAGACUCGAGGCUGGGAGGGGCUGGUGGAAUUCCCUGUGUAGCGGUGAAAUGCGUAGAUAUAGGGGAGAACACUCGUGGCGAAGGCGGCCAGCUAGACCAGUCCUGACGCUGAGGCGCGACAGCGUGGGGAGCAAACAGGAUUAGAAACCCCCGUAGUCC